CGAAAGCCUGACGGAGCAAGACCGCGUGGGGGAGGAAGGUUCUUGGAUUGUAAACCCCUUUUCUCAGGGAAGAAGAAAGUGACGGUACCUGAGGAAUCAGCCUCGGCUAACUCCGUGCCAGCAGCCGCGGUAAUACGGAGGAGGCAAGCGUUAUCCGGAAUGAUUGGGCGUAAAGCGUCCGCAGGUGGCUCGUCAAGUCUGCUGUCAAAGGUCGGGGCUUAACUCCGAACAGGCAGUGGAAACUGAGGAGCUAGAGUGCGGUAGGGGUAGAGGGAAUUCCCGGUGUAGCGGUGAAAUGCGUAGAGAUCGGGAAGAACACCGGUGGCGAAAGCGCUCUACUGGGCCUGCACUGACACUGAGGGACGAAAGCUAGGGGAGCG
rnacentral:rRNA from 1 species